CUUGCAACUUGCAGUGAAACGAAUCGCAAAAGUCAAACGGUAAAGUGACAACUGACAACUGACAUAACAAGACGGUUAAAGUUGCUGUGUCGAUCAGACUGAACCUACUUAUUUUUAAGAUAUUUUGGCAAUUUUUGGCUGUUAUUUUGAAAAUAUCCCUGUGUGUACAAUUUAUAAUCCAACUGUUAUUUUUUUCAUUUUGUAACAUAGAUUUUCUCUUAUAUAGUCUAGAAUAGUAUAAUCAAAAUGUGUAAAUUACCUAUCUUAACGAAGUGUUGCUUCUGUAUUCCUUUACGAGGUGGGCUACUAUUUUAUGCAGAUACAUAUUUGUAUUGCUGCGGUCUACUGAUCGGGAUUCUGAUAAUCAAUACGGAACGCUGGGUAUAUAUGCCGCCACAAAUAGCAGAAAUUUGUUGUUUUUUGCAAAUAGUUGAAGCAAUGUUUUCAUUAGUUCUCAUUAUAGCGUGUAAAGAGGUAUUAUUACCUUAAUUAAAAAAAAUGUUUAUUAAAGGACAUACUUACACAAAAUUGACUAAAUCCAACAGUAAGCUAAAGAAGGCUUGUGUUGUACUCAGACAACGAUAUAUAUAAAGUAAAUACUUAAAUAAAUAGAAAACAUCACAGAAACAAAUAUUUGUACUCAUCAUAUAAAUAAAUGCCCUUACCGGGAUUCGAACCCAUCGGCUUAAUAGACAGGGUCACUACCCACUAGGCCAGACCAGUCGCAAUUUGAAACAAAAAAAACAUUGCAAUUGUUCUAAUUAGUAAUUUAAUAAGUUCAUUAUAUUAUUUUGUUUUUUACGUUACGUAGUAACAUUCUGUUUAUGUUUCAGAAAAAUAUUGAUCUAUUCAAAUUAUUGCUUAUAUACAACAAAAUAUUGUGGGUUAUAUGUUUGGUGGUAAUCAUUCCUAUAGCUAUCAUGAAGACAAGUUAUUGGAUCUACCGUUUUAAUCUUGGUUUUCUGGAGAAUUUGGCUUUACCAUUACUGUUUGCACUAACAUGGGAUAUUUGUCGGCGAUCUUGCGUCAUAUUAUGGAUUAAAGGUUUGGUGGAAAAAUUAUAUGCAAAUAUGCAUAAAGAUACUAAAGAUAAUCCACACGGAGACAACGAAACAAAAGAAGAUAUUGAAGUUCAAAUUGACAUUGACAUGAUACAAGUUGAUACGGAUAAAGAAAUAAACAAAGACAAUAGUAUUGAAUGUCUAGUUGAUGAAAAUACACUAUUAACAGAGGAAAACGUAAAUCUAAAUAGAGGCGAUGUGACAGAAGUUUGAUUUCAUGAAGCUUAACAUAAAAACAGAAUGAUGAGAAAUGAUAUGUCCAAAACCAAGUCGUUGAUCAAGUUCUUGGGUUUGAAGACACUGUAAGAAAUAAAAGAAAGAGGCAACUCAACAGCCUUUUUUUAAUAUAUUAAGUUUAUGAUAUUGAAAGUCUUUUUCUAACUUUUGAGAACAUACAAUGAUGAAAACUAUGACGAUUUAUAAAGCAACUUUUAACAUGA